AGCUAUGUAGCAUAGUGGAAAUGCGACGGGCUCAUAAGACCGUGGUCAUGAUGAUUCCCGGAGAUCGUUGGAUCGAAACCAACCAUAGCUA